rnacentral:lncRNA from 1 species
GUGAAAGGGGUGUGGCCUUUGGCGGCUCCUGGGGGUAUUGGAGUUCGCAAGGUGAGGGAGGGGGUGUCAAGUGUGAGAGAGGUGCAGGACUUCCAAAUUUAGAACCUUGAGGCCCUUUGGGCUCAGGUCCAGGGCACUCCGGCCACCAUGCGCGACAGGACCCAUGAGUUGAGGCAGGGGGAUAACAUCUCAGACGAUGAAGAUGAGGUUCGAGUCGCGUUGGUGGUGCACUCAGGUGCCGCCCGGCUGAGCAGCCCGGACGACGAGUUCUUCCAGAAGGUGCAGACAAUUCGGCAGACUAUGGCCAAACUGGAGAGUAAAGUCCGGGAGUUGGAGAAACAGCAGGUCACCAUUCUGGCCACGCCUCUUCCCGAGGAGAGCAUGAAGCAGGGCCUGCAGAACCUGCGAGAGGAGAUCAAACAGCUGGGGAGAGAAGUCCGGGCACAGCUAAAAGCCAUAGAGCCCCAGAAGGAAGAAGCUGAUGAGAAUUAUAAUUCAGUCAACACAAGAAUGAAGAAAACCCAGGGAAGAAGAAUCAAACAAAAGUGACAAGUGGUGCUGGAAAGAUGGCUCAGAGGUUAAGGGCACCGGCUACUUUCCUUCCAGAGGACAUCCUUGGCCCCAUAGUUAGAAUUCAAGAGAUGAAAGGGUGACAGAAUACAUCAGUGGCAUGGGGUCCUGUCCCAGCAGUUUGUGGAGCUCAUCAACAAGUGUAACUCAAUGCAGUCCGAGUACCGAGAGAAGAACGUGGAGCGCAUUCGGCGGCAGCUGAAGAUCA